UACAGAGGAGCCAAGCGUUGUUCGGAUUUACUGGGCGUAAAGGGCGCGUAGGCGGUCGUGGCAAGUCACUUGUGAAAUCUCCGGGCUUAACUCGGAACGGUCAAGUGAUACUGUCGGACUAGAGUACAGAAGGGGCAACUGGAAUUCUCGGUGUAGCGGUGAAAUGCGUAGAUAUCGAGAGGAACACCUGCGGCGAAGGCGGGUUGCUGGGCUGAUACUGACGCUGAGGCGCGAAAGCCAGGGGAGCGAACGGG
rnacentral:rRNA from 1 species